ACAGGACUUAAAUACUAUUUAUUCUUAUCUUCAUGGAAUGGAAAUAUUGUCAAAUCUCAGGGAGCAUCAGCUUAGAUUAAUGUCUGCAAGAGCACGCUAUGAAAAGUACAGUGGCAACCAGAUUCUUUUUUGCUCAGAAACUAUUGCCAGAUGUUGGUAUAUCCUGCUUUCUGGAUCUGUACUUGUCAAAGACUCCAUGGUUUUGCCUCC